AUACCUUUCUCGGCCUUUUGGCUAAGAUCAAGUGUAGUAUCUGUUCUUAUCAGUUUAAUAUCUGAUACGUGGUCCAAUGGCUCACACGAUAUUAAAUUUAUUUUUUUAGGGGGAAAUUCCAUCACAGCAGCUUGCUGCUGGGUUUUUCACGCGUCGCCUUUGCAUUGCACUAUUGCAUUGGCCUGGCGCGCCCCUC
rnacentral:snRNA from 1 species